CAAGACCUUGCGCUUUUGGAGCGGCCGAUGUCUGAUUAGCUAGUUGGUGGGGUAAUGGCUUACCAAGGCUUCGAUCAGUAGCUGGUCUGAGAGGACGACCAGCCACACUGGGACUGAGACACGGCCCAGACUCCUACGGGAGGCAGCAGUGGGGAAUUUUGGACAAUGGGGGAAACCCUGAUCCAGCCAUGCCGCGUGAGUGAAGAAGGCCUUCGGGUUGUAAAGCUCUUUCAGCCGGAACGAAAUGGUCAUGGUUAACACCCGUGACAAAUGACGGUACCGGAAGAAGAAGCACCGGCUAACUACGUGCCAGCAGCCGCGGUAAUACGUAGGGUGCAAGCGUUAAUCGGAAUUACUGGGCGUAAAGCGUGCGCAGGCGGUUUUGUAAGUCAGAUGUGAAAUCCCCGGGCUUAACCUGGGAACUGCGUUUGAAACUACAAGG
rnacentral:rRNA from 1 species